rnacentral:misc_RNA from 1 species
UCCCAUGAAGCCCGUUGAAGACUACGACGUUGAUAGGCGAGGUGUGGAAGCGCAGUAAUGCGUGAAGCUAACUCGUACUAAUUGGCUGAUUGUCUUGGCCAUAUAACCUGAAUUGCUUUUAGGUUAGGGCAACAAUGAAAGACAACGCGUUUGUGUUACCUCAUUAAUCUUUACCAGCCUGCUGGCACUGCAGUUAAAUCUGCUUUGACCAGUCUAGGCAAACCCGUUUUCCUGGCGACAAUAGCGGUUUGGAACCACCUGACUCCAUCUCGAACUCAGAAGUGAAACAGACCCGCGCCGAUGAUAGUGUGG